rnacentral:rRNA from 1 species
AUUGAACGCUGGCGGCAGGCCUAACACAUGCAAGUCGAGCGGAUGCAGGGAGCUUGCUCCUGGAUUCAUCGGCGGACGGGUGAGUAAUGCCUAGGAAUCUGCCUGGUAGUGGGGGAUAACGUCCGGAAACGGGCGCUAAUACCGCAUACGUCCUGAGGGAGCAAGUGGGGGAUCUUCGGACCUCACGCUAUCAGAUGAGCCUAGGUCGGAUUAGCUAGUUGGUGGGGUAAAGGCCUACCAAGGCGACGAUCCGUAACUGGUCUGAGAGGAUGAUCAGUCACACUGGAACUGAGACACGGUCCAGACUCCUACGGGAGGCAGCAGUGGGGAAUAUUGGACAAUGGGCGAAAGCCUGAUCCAGCCAUGCCGCGUGUGUGAAGAAGGUCUUCGGAUUGUAAAGCACUUUAAGUUGGGAGGAAGGGCAGUAAGUUAAUACCUUGCUGUUUUGACGUUACCAACAGAAUAAGCACCGGCUAACUUCGUG